GGGUGGAGCAGUUCGGUAGCUCGUCGGGCUCAUAACCCGAAGGUCGCAGGUUCAAAUCCUGCCCCCGCAACCA
rnacentral:tRNA from 1 species